ensembl:lncRNA
CUAGCACUCAUGUCUGUAGCCAUGAAGUGCUUUGAAAGGCAGGUCAUGGCUCACAUAGCACAUGCGACAAAUACAUUUAUUUGAUUUGAUUCUUGGGUCUCACAGACACUAACCACAAGCUAUUUCCUUUAGUUCUGCGCUGAAUCACAUAAGAAACAUUUCAUGGGUUGUCUUCUUUUGGCAUAUAGCUAAAGGGAAACUGUAGUUGUUCAGUAAUUUUGCUUCAUUGUGAAAGCAGACAGUAUGGAGGCGAUUCAAGAAUGGGUCAAACAAUCAAAGGGAAUUGUGCCUAAUGUGGCUUGUAGCUUCUGCCUUGUGGUCUUGGAGAAGAUUCUGGAGCUGGAGGUUCGGUGUCCCUGCAAUUAUAUAUAUAAAAUGUUCUUUACGAUUGCAUUCUUUAUCAUUCCUGCCCUGUUAUCAUUCUUGCUGAUGCUACAAGUUCAAGGAUCUAGGGGUAACAUAGUAAAAUGGAAGGCUUACUUGUCAAGCCUCAUUCCUUCGUUGGUGUGGUGGAUCGUACUGUUCUUUGAUGGCAGAUACGUUGCUUAUGCCAUGACAAAAUUAAAUGAAACAGGGGUCAUUCGUAAUGAAGAUUUUUCUGUGAAAAUGUGUGACGAAGCAGGGAAAGAUCAACAUCAGAAUUUCCUUUUUUGGGAAAUCUGUUCUCAGGGCAUUGGUAUGGCUCUGCUCUUGGUCGCCUGUGGGGCAGUUAUAGUAUCCAUAUGCAACAACUACACCUGGGAUUUAGGAGAAGUCAGUGAUGACGUUACAGAAAGAAGAAGAGGCAUCGGAAGCAGUGUAAGAACAGGAGGAGGAGGACGAGGAGGAAGAGGUGGAGGAGGACUAGGAGGAAGAGGAGGAGAAGGAACAGAAGCAGCACAGGCAUCAGAAGCAGGAGGAGGAGCAGGAGCAGGAGGAGGAGGAGGAGGAGGAACAGGAGCAGAAGCAGCACAGGCAUCAGAAGCAAGAGGAGGAGCAGGAGGAGUACAGGCAUUAGAAGCUGGUGGAGGAGGAGGAGGAGGAGGAGGAGCAGGAGGAGUACAGGCAUUAGAAGCAGGAGGACGAGGAGGAGGAGGAGCAGGAGCAGGAGGAGUACAGGCAUUAGAAGCAGGAGGAGGAGGAGGAGGAGGAGGAGCAGGAGAAGGAGGAGUACAGGCAUUAGAAGCAGGAGGAGGAGGAGGAGCAGGAGGAGUACAGGCAUUAGAAGCAGGAGGACGAGGAGCAGGUGCAGAAGCAGUACAGGCAUCAGAAGCAGGAGGAGGAGCAGGAGAAUCAGAAGCAGGAGGAGGAGAAGGAAGAGGAGCAGAAGAAGUAGAUGCUUUGCUUCCAGAAAUUUGACGUCACCCCAUUGAAGUUAUGAAUUAAAAAGGAUUCAGGUUAGGUUUAGGGUUUAGGGUGGGGUUGAAGAAGCUGUUGAGAUGGUACGCAGGCCCAGAAAUGGAUAAAAAUGUGCUGUAUAAAAUUACAUUGGUAAAAAUGGUAUGUUUGUUUUUUUCUUCUUCACACAAUCAAUAAGUAACCAAUUUAUAACGUUUUUAUUUCUGAGUGUGGAGAUUAAGGAGUGUUUUCUCUGACACAGAUUAAGCCUAGUCCUGGACUAAAAAACACGUUUAUUAGCGAGUCUCCAUUGAAAUGCUUUUUAGUCCAGGAUUAAGGUGUAUCCGUGUCCACAAAAGCGACACUAAGGCUGAGUUUACAAAGGAAGACCAACUCUGAUCUUUUGACAAUUAUUUGUUCUAUUUAAUACAGUACAUACAGUAUCUGAUGUUUUUUUUCCAGUGAGUAAAAAACAACAACAUAAAACACAUUGAAUCUGAUCUUUUGAGUUCUGGUUUGUACCACAUUUGUAUGUGGUUUCCAAUCAAUUCUGAUCCAUCAUGCAACAGUCUGGACGCUGAUUUCUUCCACAUGACCUGCAGUUGCCAAAACAACCACCCCAAAAUGUAAUGGAACAAUGACAGAAAAUGGACUGAAAAAACCCAUCUGAAUUGGGUUCCUACGUCCCUGCCACAUUACAGCCGUCGGUCGUCCUGCACUAUCAUCAGCCAUCAGCCAUUGAGGGAAUGCUUCCUUUGCAAUCAAUGAAAGCUACUGACAAGAGUAGUAGCUUAAGCCUCAGCUCUCUGUGACAUUGUAGAGACACAACUUGCAGAUACCCACGCACACUCAUGAAGAAGUUUCACUUUCACACGCAGAGCACAAAGAAGAAUGAACAUUGAGAGGGAAUUGGCAUUGAUUAAAGAAAAUAAGAAAUUAUUGGGAGUGGAAUUUGUUAAAAUAAUGAUUGAAGGUUAAAGGUUGGAAACGGGAAAAUAUACAGUCUGCAAUAUCCUGCUUAAAUUUGUCCACUUUGCCAAUGAAA